GUUGAUAUAGCUCAAUUGGUAGAGCGUCAGAUUGUGGCUCUGAAGGUUGUGGGUUCAAACCCCAUUAUCUACC
rnacentral:tRNA from 1 species